rnacentral:rRNA from 1 species
GGUUUGAUUAUGGCUCAGGAUGAACGCUAGCUACAGGCUUAACACAUGCAAGUCGAGGGGCAGCAUUUUAGUUUGCUUGCAAACUAAAGAUGGCGACCGGCGCACGGGUGAGUAACACGUAUCCAACCUGCCGAUAACUCGGGGAUAGCCUUUCGAAAGAAAGAUUAAUAUCCGAUAGUAUAUUAAAACCGCAUGGUUUUACUAUUAAAGAAUUUCGGUUAUCGAUGGGGAUGCGUUCCAUUAGUUUGUUGGCGGGGUAACGGCCCACCAAGACUACGAUGGAUAGGGGUUCUGAGAGGAAGGUCCCCCACAUUGGAACUGAGACACGGUCCAAACUCCUACGGGAGGCAGCAGUGAGGAAUAUUGGUCAAUGGACGAGAGUCUGAACCAGCCAAGUAGCGUGAAGGAUGACUGCCCUAUGGGUUGUAAACUUCUUUUAUAUGGGAAUAAAGUAUUCCACGUGUGGGAUUUUGUAUGUACCAUAUGAAUAAGGAUCGGCUAACUCCGUGCCAGCAGCCGCGGUAAUACGGAGGAUCCGAGCGUUAUCCGGAUUUAUUGGGUUUAAAGGGAGCGUAGGUGGAUUGUUAAGUCAGUUGUGAAAGUUUGCGGCUCAACCGUAAAAUUGCAGUUGAAACUGGCAGUCUUGAGUACAGUAGAGGUGGGCGGAAUUCGUGGUGUAGCGGUGAAAUGCUUAGAUAUCACGAAGAACUCCGAUUGCGAAGGCAGCUCACUAGACUGCAACUGACACUGAUGCUCGAAAGUGUGGGUAUCAAACAGGAUUAGAUACCCUGGUAGUCCACACAGUAAACGAUGAAUACUCGCUGUUUGCGAUAUACAGUAAGCGGCCAAGCGAAAGCAUUAAGUAUUCCACCUGGGGAGUACGCCGGCAACGGUGAAACUCAAAGGAAUUGACGGGGGCCCGCACAAGCGGAGGAACAUGUGGUUUAAUUCGAUGAUACGCGAGGAACCUUACCCGGGCUUAAAUUGCAUUUGAAUAAUCUGGAAACAGGUUAGCCGCAAGGCAAAUGUGAAGGUGCUGCAUGGUUGUCGUCAGCUCGUGCCGUGAGGUGUCGGCUUAAGUGCCAUAACGAGCGCAACCCUUAUCUUUAGUUACUAACAGGUCAUGCUGAGGACUCUAGAGAGACUGCCGUCGUAAGAUGUGAGGAAGGUGGGGAUGACGUCAAAUCAGCACGGCCCUUACGUCCGGGGCUACACACGUGUUACAAUGGGGGGUACAGAAGGCAGCUACCUGGUGACAGGAUGCUAAUCCCAAAAACCUCUCUCAGUUCGGAUCGAAGUCUGCAACCCGACUUCGUGAAGCUGGAUUCGCUAGUAAUCGCGCAUCAGCCAUGGCGCGGUGAAUACGUUCCCGGGCCUUGUACACACCGCCCGUCAAGCCAUGAAAGCCGGGGGUACCUGAAGUACGUAACCGCAAGGAGCGUCCUAGGGUAAAACUGGUAAUUGGGGCUAAGUCGUAACAAGGUACCC